rnacentral:misc_RNA from 1 species
GAUGAAGAACGUAGUGAAAUGCGAUAAGUAAUGUGAAUUGCAGAAUUCAGUGAAUCAUCGAAUCUUUGAACGCACAUUGCGCCCGUCAGUAUUCUGGCGGGCAUGCCUGUUCGAGCGUCAUUACGCCCCUCAAGUCCCCUGUGGACUUGGUGUUGGGGAUCGGCGAGGCUGGUUUUCCAGCACAGCCGUCCCUUAAAUUAAUUGGCGGUCUCGCCGUGGCCCUCCUCUGCGCAGUAGUAAAACACUCGCAACAGGAGCCCGGCGCGGUCCACUGCCGUAAAACCCCCCAACUUUAUAUAGUUGACCUCGAAUCAGGUAGGACUACCCGCUGAACUUAAGCAUAUCAAUAAGCGGAGGA